rnacentral:rRNA from 1 species
AACGAACGCUGGCGGCAUGCCUAACACAUGCAAGUCGAACGAGACCUUCGGGUCUAGUGGCGCACGGGUGCGUAACGCGUGGGAACCUGCCCUUAGGUUCGGAAUAACUCCCCGAAAGGGGUGCUAAUACCGGAUAAUGUCUUCGGACCAAAGAUUUAUCGCCUUUGGAUGGGCCCGCGUUGGAUUAGCUAUUUGGUAGGGUAAAAGCCUACCAAGGCGACGAUCCAUAGCUGGUCUGAGAGGAUGAUCAGCCACACUGGGACUGAGACACGGCCCAGACUCCUACGGGAGGCAGCAGUGGGGAAUAUUGGACAAUGGGCGAAAGCAUGAUCCAGCAAUGCCGCGUGAGUGAUGAAGGCCUUAGGGUUGUAAAGCUCUUUUACCCGGGAUGAUAAUGACAGUACCGGGAGAAUAAGCUCCGGCUAACUCCGUG